rnacentral:rRNA from 1 species
AUUGAACGCUGGCGGCAGGCUUAACACAUGCAAGUCGAGCGAGUGGCGGACGGGUGAGUAAUGCUUGGGAAUCUAGCUUAUGGCGGGGGAUAACUCCGGGAACCGGUAGCUAAUACGGCGUACCUGAGGAUUAGCCCAGGUGGGAUUCGGUAGUUGGUAAGGUAAAGGCUAACCAAGCCGACGAUCUCUAGCUGGUCUGAGAGGAUGACCAGCCACACUGGGACUGAGACACGGCCCAGACUCCUACGGGAGGCAGCAGUAGGGAAUCUUGCGCAAUGGGCGAAAGCUGAUGCAGCAAUGCCGCGUGUAUGAAGAAGGUCUUCGGGUUGUAAAGUUCUUUUAGUCGGGAAGCGGUACCUACACAAAAAGCACCGGCUAACUCCGUGCCAGCAGCCGCGGUAAUAC